rnacentral:rRNA from 1 species
AGUGAACGCUGGCGGUAGGCCUAACACAUGCAAGUCGAACGGCAGCACAGUAAGAGCUUGCUCUUACGGGUGGCGAGUGGCGGACGAGUGAGGAAUACAUCGGAAUCUACUUUUUCGUGGGGGAUAACGUAGGGAAACUUACGCUAAUACCGCAUACGACCUACGGGUGAAAGCAGGGGAUCUUCGGACCUUGCGCGAUUGAAUUAGCCGAUGUCGGAUUAGCUAGUUGGCGGGGUAAAGGCCCACCAAGGCGACGAUCCGUAGCUGGUCUGAGAGGAUGAUCAGCCACACUGGAACUGAGACACGGUCCAGACUCCUACGGGAGGCAGCAGUGGGGAAUAUUGGACAAUGGGCGCAAGCCUGAUCCAGCCAUACCGCGUGGGUGAAGAAGGCCUUCGGGUUGUAAAGCCCUUUUGUUGGGAAAGAAAAGCAGCAGGUUAAUACCCCGCUGUUCUGACGGUACCCAAAGAAUAAGCACCGGCUAACUUCGUG